UCCAGCUUAUCGCCAGCAGUCUCCUGAGAGUGCAUCCUUUCGGAUUAGCAACACAGGACGAGGGUUGCGCUCGUUGCGGGACUUAACCCAACAUCUCACGACACGAGCUGACGACAGCCAUGCAGCACCUCGACUCCCGUCCCUUGCGGGAAAGCCAUAUUUCUACAGCUUUUCGUGAGCCGUUCGAGCCCAGGUAAGGUUUUUCGCGUUGCGUCGAAUUAAACCACAUGCUCCACUGCUUGUGCGGGCCCCCGUCAAUUCCUUUGAGUUUCAGCCUUGCGGCCGUACUCCCCAGGCGGGGCACUUAAUGCGUUAGCGCCGGCACUCAGAGGGUCGCUCCCCCAAGCACCUAGUGCCCAUCGUUUACGGCGUGGACUAC
rnacentral:misc_RNA from 1 species